rnacentral:rRNA from 1 species
UACGGGGGAGCAAGCGUUGUUCGGAUUUACUGGGCGUAAAGGGCGCGUAGGCGGUCAGCACAAGUCAGUUGUGAAAUCUCCGGGCUUAACUCGGAAAGGUCAACUGAUACUGUGCGACUAGAGUGCGGAAGGGCAACUGGAAUUCUCGGUGUAGCGGUGAAAUGCGUAGAUAUCGAGAGGAACACCUGCGGCGAAGGCGGGUUGCUGGGCCGACACUGACGCUGAUGCGCGAAAGCGUGGGGAGCGAACAGG